GACGAACGCUGGCGGCGUGCCUAAUACAUGCAAGUCGAACGGGAGCGCCCGGUUCUUGCUGUGGUCGAGCUGGUAGCGGACGGGUGAGAAACACGAGGGUGCCCUGCACAGCAGGGGGGGAUAACCUCCGGCGGAGGAAUAUAACACAGGAUAGGUCUUCGAACCGGGGGGUUUUUAGGAGAUCAGGGGCGCAAGGUGCUGCUGAGGGAUGGAGCCGUGGGGUAUUAGCUAGUUGGUGGGGUAGCGACCUACCAAGGCGGUGAUGCGUAGCGGACCUGAGAGGACGACCGGCCACACUGGGACUGAGACACGGCCCAGACUCCUACGGGAGGCAGCAGUAGGGAAUCUUCGGCAAUGGGCGAAAGUCUGAUCCAGCAAUGCCGCGUGUGUGAUGAAGGCCUUCGGAUUGUAAAGCUCUUUUGGCGGAGACGAACAGGUCUGAGCCUAAACGACGGCUCGAUGACGGUACCCGAAGAAUAAGCACCGGCUAACUACGUG
rnacentral:rRNA from 1 species